GGGCCGUUGCUUCGUUCGGAGCCCUGGUCCCGGGGAGCGGAGCCGGGGAGCGAGCACCGCCGUCCCCGGGCCCAGGCUGCGGAACGGAGCGGAGCGGCGGGACUCGGUCGGCGG
rnacentral:miRNA from 14 species